CCUACGGGGGGCAGCAGUGGGGAAUAUUGGACAAUGGGCGAAAGCCUGAUCCAGCAAUGCCGCGUGUGUGAUGAAGGCCUUCGGGUCGUAAAGCACUUUCAGAUGGGAAGAGGGCUUGUUAGUUAAUACCUGACAAGUUGACGUUACCAUCAAAAGAAGCACCGGCUAACUCUGUGCCAGCAGCCGCGGUAAGACAGAGGGUGCGAGCGUUAAUCGGAAUUACUGGGCGUAAAGGGCACGUAGGUUGGUAUUUAAGUCAGAUGUGAAAUCCUCGAGCUUAACUUGAGAACUGCAUUUGAUACUGGAUACCUAGAGUUUGGUAGAGGGAAGUGGAAUUUCCGAUGUAGCGGUGAUAUGCAUAGAUAUCGGAAGGAACACCAGUGGCGAAGGCGGCUUCCUGGACCAAUACUGACACUGAGGUGCGAAAGCGUGGGUAGCAA
rnacentral:rRNA from 1 species